CCUACGGGAGGCAGCAGUGAGGAAUAUUGGUCAAUGGACGAGAGUCUGAACCAGCCAAGUAGCGUGAAGGAUGACUGCCCUAUGGGUUGUAAACUUCUUUUAUAUGGGAAUAAAACGUUCCACGUGUGGGAUUUUGUCUGUACCAUAUGAAUAAGGAUCGGCUAACUCCGUGCCAGCAGCCGCGGUAAUACGGAGGAUCCGAGCGUUUUCCGGAUUUAUUGGGUUUAAAGGGAGCGUAGGUGGAUUGUUAAUGCAGUUGUGAAAGUUUGCGGCUCAACCGUAAAAGUGCAGUUGAAACUGGCAGUCUUGAGUACAGGAGAGGUGGGCGGAAUUCGUGGUGUAGCGGUGAAAUGCUUAGAUAUCACGAAGAACUCCGAUUGCGAAGGCAGUUCACUGGACUGCAACUGACACUGAGGCUCGAAAGUGUGGGUAUCAAACAGGAUUAGAUACCCCUGUAGUC
rnacentral:rRNA from 1 species